CCUACGGGAGGCAGCAGUAAGGAAUAUUGGUCAAUGGACGAAAGUCUGAACCAGCCAUGCCGCGUGGAGGAUGAAGGUCCUCUGGAUUGUAAACUUCUUUUAUCUGGGAAGAAAAAAGGGAAUUCUUUCCCGUCUGACGGUACCAGAUGAAUAAGCACCGGCUAACUCCGUGCCAGCAGCCGCGGUAAUACGGAGGGUGCAAGCGUUAUCCGGAUUUACUGGGUUUAAAGGGUGCGUAGGCGGAUUGCCAAGUCCGUGGUGAAAUCUCCGGGCUUAACUCGGAAACUGCCAUGGAUACUGGUAAUCUUGAAUAUCGUGGAGGUAAGCGGAAUAUGUCAUGUAGCGGUGAAAUGCUUAGAUAUGACAUAGAACACCAAUUGCGAAGGCAGCUUACUACGCGGUAAUUGACGCUGAUGCACGAAAGCGUGGGGAUCAAACAG
rnacentral:rRNA from 1 species